rnacentral:rRNA from 1 species
UGGGGAAUUUUGGACAAUGGGCGAAAGCCUGAUCCAGCAAUGCCGCGUGCAGGAUGAAGGCCUUCGGGUUGUAAACUGCUUUUGUACGGAACGAAAAAGCUUCUCCUAAUACGAGAGGCCCAUGACGGUACCGUAAGAAUAAGCACCGGCUAACUACGUGCCAGCAGCCGCGGUAAUACGUAGGGUGCGAGCGUUAAUCGGAAUUACUGGGCGUAAAGCGUGCGCAGGCGGUUAUGUAAGACAGAUGUGAAAUCCCCGGGCUCAACCUGGGAACUUCAUUUGUGACUGCAUGGCUAGAGUACGGUAGAGGGCGAUGGAAUUCCGCGUGUAGCAGUGAAAUGCGUAGAUAUGCGGAGGAACACCGAUGGCGAAGGCAAUCCCCUGGACCUGUACUGACGCUCAUGCACGAAAGCGUGGGGAGCAAACA